rnacentral:rRNA from 1 species
UACAGAGGUCCCAAGCGUUGUUCGGAUUCAUUGGGCGUAAAGGGUGCGUAGGCGGCGCGGUAAGUCGGGUGUGAAAUCUCGGAGCUUAACUCCGAAACUGCAUUCGAUACUGCCGUGCUUGAGGACUGGAGAGGAGACUGGAAUUUACGGUGUAGCGGUGAAAUGCGUAGAUAUCGUAAGGAAGACCAGUGGCGAAGGCGGGUCUCUGGACAGUUCCUGACGCUGAGCACGAAGGUCAGGGAGCAAACGGG